GGUCAAGUUAUUAAGGGUGCAGGGCGGAUGCCUUGGCACUAGGAGCCGAUGAAGGACGUGAUAAGCUGCGAUAAGCUUCGGGGAGUUGCACGUAAACUUUGAUCCGAAGAUUUCCGAAUGAGGAAACUCACUUAGAGUAAUGUCUAAGUAUCAUUAAGUGAAUACAUAGCUUAAUGAGGGGAACUCAGGGAACUGAAACAUCUAAGUACCUGAAGGAAGAGAAAGAAAUUCGAUUCCGUAAGUAGCGGCGAGCGAACGCGGAUUAGCCCAAACCAAUAAAGUUUUCUUUAUUGGGGUUGCGGACAUAUCAUAACGAAGAGGUAUCGUAAUUGAAGAGGUUUGGAAAGACCCACCACAGAAGGUAAUAGUCCUGUAUGUUAAACGAGAAGACUUUAGAUAUGAUCCAGAGUACCACGGGACACGUGAAACCCUGUGGGAAGCAGGAGGGACCACCCUCCAAGGCUAAAUACUACCUAGUGACCGAUAGCGUAUAGUACCGUGAGGGAAAGGUGAAAAGAACCCCGGGAGGGGAGUGAAAUAGAACCUGAAACCCUGCACUUACAAGCUGUGGAAGCACAUUUCUUGUGUGACCGCGUACUUUUUGUAGAACGGGCCAACGAGUUACGUUAAGUAGCAAGGUUAAGCACUUAAGGUGCGGAGCCGUAGCGAAAGCGAGUUUUAACUGAGCGUUCAGUUACUUGACGUAGACCCGAAACCGGGCGACCUACCCAUGAGCAGGAUGAAGCGAAAGUAAAAUUUCGUGGAGGUCCGAACCCACGAGCGUUGAAAAGCUCGGGGAUGACUUGUGGGUAGCGGUGAAAUUCCAAUCGAGCCCGGAGAUAGCUGGUUCUCCCCGAAAUAGCUUUAGGGCUAGCCUCAAGGUGAGAGAUACGGAGGUAGAGCACUGAAUGUCCUAGGGGGUAUUGCACCUACCGAAGACUAUCAAACUCCGAAUGCCGUCAUCUUAUACUUGGGAGUCAGACUGUGGGUGAUAAGAUUCAUAGUCGAAAGGGCAACAGCCCAGAUCGUCAGCUAAGGUCCCUAAAUGUAAGUUAAGUGGUAAAGGAUGUGGGAUUGCACAGACAACCAGGAUGUUGGCUUAGAAGCAGCCACUCAUUCAAAGAGUGCGUAAUAGCUCACUGGUCGAGUGAUCCUGCGCCGAAGAUUUCCGGGGCUAAAACUUACUACCGAAGCUACGGCAUCAGUAAUGAUGGGUAGGGGAGCUUCCCAUACGGGUUGAAGCAUGACCGUAAGGACAUGUGGACAGUAUGGGAGUGAGAAUGUUGGCAUGAGUAGCGAGAUGUGGGUGAGAAUCCCACAGGCCGUAAACCCAAGGUUUCCAGGGGAAGGUUCGUCCGCCCUGGGUUAGUCGGGACCUAAGCUGAGGCCGAAAGGCGUAGGUGAUGGACAACAGGUUGAUAUUCCUGUACUACCGAUAACCGUUUGAGAGAAGGGAUGACACAGUAGGAUAAGCUAAGCACACUGUUGGUUAUGUGUGCCCAAGCAUUGAGGCAGUCAAAGUAGGCAAAUCCGCUUUGAUAAUGCUGGGAUGUGAUGGGGAGCGAAAUUUAGUAGCGAAGUAGCUGAUUUCACACUGUCAAGAAAAGUCUCUAUCGAGGUUAAAGGUACCCGUACCGCAAACCGACACAGGUGGGUGAGGAGAGUAUCCUAAGGCCAGCGAGAGAACUGUUGUUAAGGAACUCGGCAAAAUGACCCCGUAACUUAGGGAUAAGGGGUGCCACCAUCAGGUGGCCGCAGAGAAUAGGCCCAAGCGACUGUUUACCAAAAACAUAGGUUUCUGCUAAGUCGCAAGACGAUGUAUAGGAGCUGACGCCUGCCCGGUGCUGGAAGGUUAAGGGGAUCUGUUAGAGCAAUCGAAGCAGUGAACUUAAGCCCCAGUAAACGGCGGCCGUAACUAUAACGGUCCUAAGGUAGCGAAAUUCCUUGUCGGGUAAGUUCCGACCCGCACGAAAGGCGUAACGAUUUGGGCACUGUCUCAACAACAGACUCGGUGAAAUUGUAAUUCCGGUGAAGAUGCCGGAUACCUGCGACAGGACGGAAAGACCCCAUGGAGCUU
rnacentral:rRNA from 1 species